CUUGUAGGUAUGGGAGGAAUUUUGUUUCUUUGUUCUUUCAUAUUUUGAAUGCAAACUUAAGUAAUACCUGAAACCAGUUCUCUUUCACUUUGUGUUGAGCUGUAAAUCUUUCUCUUCAAUACUGUCCAAUGUUUGCUGCACUGAAUUCACACUGAACCUUUUUACAAGCCUGAUGAAUGAACAGGUCUGACCAAUGCUGAACAAGAAACUAUGUGUGCAACAUUCCCUGUCAGGUCUCUCUCACAUAGUUUCUCUAAAGCUUAACCUGUGUUAACUAGAUUUUCUAUUUGUCUCUAUUUUGCAUUGGAUUCAAUCUAUAGGGCUAAAUACUUUUUUAUUUAUUUUUUUUAGCUUGGAACAAUUUAUAAAAGGGGGAUUCGUGGGAUUCUGGACUGGAUCCCCAAAUGAGUUGCAGAAAAUCAGGAAUCCGAAAGUCCACAAAUCAAUAACUAUCUCAUUUGUCAGUCACAGCCAGCUCAUAUUUAGCUAACACUUGUUUAGACUAAUCAUACAUACAUAUCUAUAUAACCAGUGCUUCGAGCAACCUGGAUUUGUUUCCACACAGUAUGAAGACUGACGAAGGCCUAUAACCUGAGGAGGAAAUGCUAUAUCACAUUAUUUUAUGAGGCGUGCUCUGGCUCAUCUGUCAGUCUGUGUUUCUUUCUGCUUUCACUCUUUUGUAGGUCUGACCUGAUAUUUUUAGGAUGGUGGAAACUUCUAGUGAGGUGUGUACAGUAUGUAUAGUAUGAAUAGGUAAAGUGGGACACUUUCUGGUAAUUUGUCAUUAGCAUUGUAUUAAAAGAUGACAAAUGGCUUAGCCCUUCACACAGUUCUAUUUUAAGUAGAUUGCUAGCACACUAUAGAUGAGAGGGAAAAGGACCUGUACUCACCUGCGUGUACAUUUACACAUCUGAAAAAUAAAAAGAGUUAAGUGAAAAGGGGGAAAUUAUAUACAAUUAUUUUUACAUAAAUUAGAUUUUUUUCCCCCCCAAGAAGUAAAUUUUCCUCUUUUUUUCCACAGCUAGUCCGAACCUACUGAUUUGCUUGGGUUACCCCCAGGUUAAGAACCAUUGGAGAAGUGUAUACUUUUAUGACGAAGAGGAAUGGUAAAUUGAGAAAAGCAGCGGGUCGAGCACUGAACCCUGAAGCACCUCAGAGUGGUUACGUGAUAUGACUUAGACACCCUUCCUAGUACUUGCCCAUGAGGAAAAACACAAGUGCAGUUAAGAGUUUUAGAGAGAAUGAACAUGGAAAGUUUCUUCUGUCUUUAUGUUUUAAACUUUGAUAUAAUAUUUCCACUUUAUCUAAACCAAAUUAAAGUAGUUAAGAAAUCCUACUCUGUAAAUGAGUGUAAAGAAAAUAAUACUGUUGUUACUUCCUUCCCCAUUGUUAAUUUUAUUUUAAGCAUUUUAAUUCAAAAUAGGGUAUAAAAAACAUACAAGGAGAGCUCCUAUUCAAAAGUGCAAACAAAUUGGAAAUACUGAAUCAAAACAUAAAAUGCCUAGCACAGACAGAUGCGAGUUAGUCACACUGACAAUUGUGGUAAAUAUACACUGGCCUAUUUUGGGCAGUCAUUGUGAGCCCAGUAAGUACUUUGAAAAGUAGUUACAACCCUCCCCUUCUAAACAUUUAUUAUCAUUCUAGUUUUGUUGUUUUGUUAAAACUCAUGAGGAUGUUAGAUAUCUAAUUGUAUCUAUCAUGACACCCUGCUGAUUCAUUUCACAUCCAUUAACAUGUCUACAAAUCAAAUUAUAUGCCAGAUGUGAAAAUGUAUUUCUGUCCUAUAAAUUCUGUAUAAUAAAUCCUGUAUAAUAAUUUUGUACAGUCUUUCUACUUUUAAA
ensembl:lncRNA